CGGGGCGUGGCGCAGUCCGGUUAGCGCACCUGGUUUGGGACCAGGGGGUCGCAGGUUCGAAUCCUGCCGCCCCGAC
rnacentral:tRNA from 1 species